rnacentral:rRNA from 1 species
GCUAAAGCGGUGCGAGGAGGCGCGGUAAGACAGGGGUGUGGGGGGUUAUGCGGAAUGACUGGGCUUAAAGCGUGUGUAGGCGGACUUGUAAGUACCUUGUGAAAUCCAACGGCUGAACCGUGGAACUGCUUGGUAUACUGCUUGUCUUGGGUCAGCUAGGGGUUACCGGAACAAACGGUGGAGCGGUGAAAUGCGUAGAUAUCGUUUGGAACGCCAAUGGUGAAAACAGGUAACUGGGGCUGUGCCGACGCUGAGACACGAAAGCCAGGGGAGCGAACGGGAUUAGAUACCCGGGUAGUC